GACGAACGCUGGCGGCGCGCCUAACACAUGCAAGUCGAACGAGCGAGAGAGAGCUUGCUUUCUUGAGCGAGUGGCGAACGGGUGAGUAACGCGUGAGGAACCUGCCUCAAAGAGGGGGACAACAGUUGGAAACGACUGCUAAUACCGCAUAAGCCUACGACCCGGCAUCGGGUUGAGGGAAAAGGAGCAAUCCGCUUUGAGAUGGCCUCGCGUCCGAUUAGCUAGUUGGUGAGGUAACGGCCCACCAAGGCGACGAUCGGUAGCCGGACUGAGAGGUUGAACGGCCACAUUGGGACUGAGACACGGCCCAGACUCCUACGGGAGGCAGCAGUGGGGAAUAUUGCACAAUGGGGGAAACCCUGAUGCAGCGACGCCGCGUGGAGGAAGAAGGUCUUCGGAUUGUAAACUCCUGUUGUUGAGGAAGAUAAUGACGGUACUCAACAAGGAAGUGACGGCUAACUACGUG
rnacentral:rRNA from 1 species